rnacentral:tRNA from 1 species
GGGCCCGUAGCUCAGCGGUUAGAGCAGCGGACUCAUAAUCCGUUGGUCCCAGGUUCAAAUCCUGGCGGGCCCA